AGUGAACGCUGGCGGUAGGCCUAACACAUGCAAGUCGAACGGCAGCACAGUAAGAGCUUGCUCUUACGGGUGGCGAGUGGCGGACGGGUGAGGAAUACAUCGGAAUCUACUUUUUCGUGGGGGAUAACGUAGGGAAACUUACGCUAAUACCGCAUACGACCUACGGGUGAAAGCAGGGGAUCUUCGGACCUUGCGCGAUUGAAUGAGCCGAUGUCGGAUUAGCUAGUUGGCGGGGUAAAGGCCCACCAAGGCGACGAUCCGUAGCUGGUCUGAGAGGAUGAUCAGCCACACUGGAACUGAGACACGGUCCAGACUCCUACGGGAGGGAGCAGGGGGGAAUAUUGGACAAUGGGCGCAAGCCUGAUCCAGCCAUACCGCGUGGGGGAAGAAGGCCUUCGGGUUGUAAAGCCCUUUUGUUGGGAAAGAAAAGCAGCAGGUUAAUACCCCGCUGUUCUGACGGUACCCAAAGAAUAAGCACCGGCUAACUUCGUG
rnacentral:rRNA from 1 species